UCCGGAAGCGCCGGCAUUGAGACCGGAAGUGCCUUUUGGGCGGCCGGAAGUGCCCAUUUUGCCUCCAGUACCGUCGUUGUUAGGACCGGAAGUGCCAUUUUCGUGGCCGGAAGUGCCCGUUUUGGGUCCCGAAGCUACAUUUUCAGGACCGGAAGUGCCGAUUUUGGGUCCAAAAGCGCCGAUUUUGGGCCAUGUUCUACCACCCCGAGAUCCUGCAGCGCCGCAGCGGCUGCUUCGGGACCAUCUGGUCCUGGAGGAGCCGCUCUUUCUGGCGCCCAGUCCCGAGAUCAUCACCAUGAGGGAAGCGGAGCGCGUCACGCCGGCCCCACUGCUCGAGGUGGGGCGGCCCCAUAGC
rnacentral:lncRNA from 1 species